UCCCUCGAGGAGCGUUGCGACGGGUUUCACCACCCGCCAGGCUCGAGGUGUCCACCACCGCAACGGCGCUCACGAACU
rnacentral:ncRNA from 2 species